UACCAGCACCCCGAGUGGUCGGGACGUUUAUUGGGCCUAAAGCCUCCGUAGCCGGUUCUACAAGUCUUCCGUUAAAUCCACCUGCUUAACAGCUGGGCUGCGGAAGAUACUAUAGAGCUAGGAGGCGGGAGAGGCAAGCGGUACUCGAUGGGUAGGGGUAAAAUCCGUUGAUCCAUUGAAGACCACCAGUGGCGAAGGCGGCUUGCCAGAACGCGCUCGACGGUGAGGGAUGAAAGCUGGGGGAGCAAACCGG
rnacentral:rRNA from 1 species